rnacentral:rRNA from 1 species
AAGUCGUAACAAGGUUUCCGUAGGUGAACCUGCGGAAGGAUCAUUAUCGUAACAAAGACGUGGGAGGUGCUCGAAGGCUGUCGCCGGCUCGAAAGGGUCGUGCACGCCGGAAGGGUGUCCUCUUGCGUGAAAUCCAUCUCACCCCUUUUGUGCACCACCGCGUGGGCUUCCUCCUCGAGGCGGCUCGCGUUUUUCAUACAAACCCCCUUUGUAAAUGUCUGUAGAAUGUCCCCAUUUUGUUUGCGUUGACACGCGAUCAAUACAACUUUCAACAACGGAUCUCUUGGCUCUCGCAUCGAUGAAGAACGCAGCGAAAUGCGAUACGUAAUGUGAAUUGCAGAAUUCAGUGAAUCAUCGAAUCUUUGAACGCACCUUGCGCCCCUUGGUAUUCCGAGGGGCACACCCGUUUGAGUGUCGUGAAAAUCUCAACCUCCUCGGUUUCUUUUGAAUGCCGAAGGAGGCUUGGACUUUGGAGGGCUUUGCUGGACUUGAAAGGUCAGCUCCUCUUAAAUGAAUUAGCGAGGUCCCCUUUGCCGAUCCUCGACGUGUGAUAAGAUGCUUCCACGUCUCGGUCUUUGGCUCUGUCGCCUCUUGGGACCUGCUUCCAAUCGUCUCUCGACGAGACAACGUUCGAGCGUGCCUCGACCACGUACCCUUGACCUCAAAUCGGGUGAGACUACCCGCUGAACUUAAGCAUAUCAAUAAGCGGAGGAAAAGAAACUAACAAGGAUUCCCCUAGUAACUGCGAGUGAAGCGGGAAAAGCUCAAAUUUAAAAUCUGGCGGUCCUUGGCCGUCCGAGUUGUAAUUUAGAGAAGCGUCUUCCGCGCCGGACCGUGCACAAGUCUCCUGGAAUGGAGCGUCGUAGAGGGUGAGAAUCCCGUCUUUGGCACGGACACCCGGUGCUUCUGUGAUGCGCUCUCGAAGAGUCGAGUUGUUUGGGAAUGCAGCUCAAAAUGGGUGGUGAACUCCAUCUAAAGCUAAAUAUUGGCGAGAGACCGAUAGCGAACAAGUACCGUGAGGGAAAGAUGAAAAGCACUUUGGAAAGAGAGUGAAACAGUACGUGAAAUUGUUGAAAGGGAAACGCUUGAAGUCAGUCGCGUCGACCGAGACUCAGCCUUGCCUCGGCUUGGUGUACUUCUCGGACUGACGGGUCAGCGUCGAUUUUGCUGCUCGGAUAAUGGCAAGGGAAAGGUGGCACCUUUGCGGGUGUGUUAUAGUCUCCUGUCGCAUGCGAGGGGCGAGAUCGAGGAACUCAGCGCGCGCCUCUGGCGUCGGGGCUUUGGCCCACGUAACGCGCUUAGGACGCUGGCGUAAUGGCUUUAAACGACC